rnacentral:rRNA from 1 species
AAUAGAUACCCAGGUAGUCCACGCCGUAAACGAUGAGUGCUAAGUGUUGGGGGUUUCCGCCCCUCAGUGCUGCAGCUAACGCAUUAAGCACUCCGCCUGGGGAGUACGGUCGCAAGACUGAAACUCAAAGGAAUUGACGGGGGCCCGCACAAGCGGUGGAGCAUGUGGUUUAAUUCGAAGCAACGCGAAGAACCUUACCAGGUCUUGACAUCCCGGUGACCACUAUGGAGACAUAGUUUCCCCUUCGGGGGCAACGGUGACAGGUGGUGCAUGGUUGUCGUCAGCUCGUGUCGUGAGAUGUUGGGUUAAGUCCCGCAACGAGCGCAACCCUUAUUCUUAGUUGCCAUCAUUCAGUUGGGCACUCUAAGGAGACUGCCGGUGAUAAACCGGAGGAAGGUGGGGAUGACGUCAAAUCAUCAUGCCCCUUAUGACCUGGGCUACACACGUGCUACAAUGGACGGUACAAACGGUUGCCAACCCGCGAGGGGAGCUAAUCCGAUAAAACCGUUCUCAGUUCGGAUUGUAGGCUGCAACUCGCCUACAU